GACAAUGCCAAAAUAAAUGUGGAACUGUUUCUGGAUGCUUAACACAAAAGGUACAAUUAAUGUUAAUGUAUUUUUUAAGUUUCUUCAGGUAAUGAUUCGCAGGGUAAUACUUAUGGAUCAUUCUGAAAGAGACCUCUGACCUUGUUAAUAAGCUCUGCCCUCAAGUUAAGCGGACACUUCAGAUGACGUCUGAUGAGUUGACACUUGCAGGGCAUGGGAAGAACGAAUUUGUUUUAAAUGGACCGCCCUUGCCUGGAAAUGUGUCACUUGUUCGUCCCACGGUUGUGUUUUCAGUCAUCAUAGAACCACCGGUAGCUGUUGUGUGUGCUUUAUACACUACAGUAAAUUAUGAUUGCAUUUCCUAUCUUGGCUAAAAGACAACGCAUCUGCAGACAUCGAAUGCUAGCCAUCCGACAAAAUCUGGCCCGGGAGUGAACACUCGCAACCUCGAUCACAAACGAGGGCUGAGGGGCUUACGUUGCCAACUUCCCUUGUUUGGCUAAUUGUUUGGACCGACGGCAAAGAUGGCCGCGGGGAUUCCCCUAGGGCAUAUGGCAGGAAACUUCGGGAAGAAGUUUAGUUUUUCAAAGGACCCAGAAAAUGGAGCCAGUGGGUGAACCUAUUCAAAGAGCUGCCAAACCCUGUCUGCAGAUGAAGAGGUCCCAAUGAGUCCCAAGAGAAUAAGGGUCAUCCUUGUAUACAAUGGAUUACUGUAUAUGUUAGCAAAUUUUGUGAACAAAAAUACAGUUCAAGGUCACACAUUGUAUAAACCUAUUACAACUGUAGCAGGCCAACCCUGCUGGGUGUGCAGCAGUAGAGGUUGCUGAGGGGAGAACGGCUCAUAAUAAUGUCCGGACAGACCAAUUGGAAUGGCAUCAAACACGUGGAAACCAUGAAUGAUACCACUCCAGUCAUUACCACGAGCCCGUUCUCCCCAAUUAAGGUGCCACCAACCUCUUGUGGUGUGCAGGCUUCUGUUCCAGCCCAGUACUAACACAGCUGAUUCAAUAUAUCAAACCUAAUUAGUUUAUAAUCAAGUGUGUUAGCAGCUGGGCUGCAACAGAAGUCUGCUCACCUAGUAGAUCAGGGAUCAGUGGAGUGACGUUGGCCACCUCUGAUAUUUACUUCUUUCUUUUUUUAACCUGAAAUUGUGUUUUAGUAAUAAUAGCCUACUUGUUACUGAACUGUUGAACCUUUACAUAUGAGUUCGCUUAUAUGUAAGGGGCCACUGUGUUCUUGGGGAUCUUCAAUGCUGCAGAAAUGUUUUGGUACCCAUUCACAUUAAAAUGAUAUGAAAGUGUUGAUUGAAGAUAAGUUAACAAUUAAACAAGUUUAAACACUUAACUAUUAUUCAAGAUGAACUAGUGUUGAUGUUGAUUCAUCACAGAUCACAACCCAGCAACAAAAUAAGGGAAGGGAAUCUGUCUCUGAUUUCUCUGUUGUAUUCUCAAAUGAACAUGACCUUUUUGUUCAGUCAUAAGCUCUCCAAUUAGUUUUUUGAUUGUCACAAUUUUGUUUAGGAUAUCUGCCAUGUGAACCCAUUUCGCAACUGAUAAUGGCAUGCAACGCCAAUGCAGCCAUAGGCCUACAGCAGUGGUUCCCAACUCCAGUCCUUGAGUACCCCGAACACACUUGUUGUAGCCACGAAAAACAUACUUGAUUCAACUAAUUGAGGGCCUGAUGAUUAGUUGCCAAGUUGAAUCAGGUGUGUUUGUCUGUGGCUACAAUAAAACUGCACUGUUCUGGGUCCACGAGGACUGGGGAUGUGAACCACUGGCCUGCAGUAUUAUGGCAUUAGAGCCAAUUCAUGCUUGACCCGAAAAUGUGGUAGGAGGUGCCGUAUGGAUGGUGUGACACAAUUGCAGAGGCCAAAUUGAGCUCUGUUCCGCAACACCGUGCGCCUCUCAAAUUUUGUAACAAUGUGAAGGCCUCCAUGUAGCUCUGCAUUGAGAUGAUUGGUUGACAGUAGUUGGGGGCGAGAGUUCCUAUAUAAAACAAACUCGCUUCCUUCGCAACAGCUCUGCACUGCUCUGUGAAGAGCAAGAAGUAGGAGUGCCCUGACUUCUGCAGAGGCCGUAUCACGUAAAUGCUGCACGGCCAAUGCAGACGCCGGAUUAACCAUGCAGCGCCUUUAAGCCUUAUGUGCAUUUGCAAUGCAUCCCUUGACAUUGUGCAUCUGAAGCAGAGAACAGCUUAACUCACAUAUUGUUCACAUAUGUUCUCAAAUUAAAAACGAUACCAGUAGAUAAUGGAUAUGAGGCUAAUCAUUAUACUAGAUUUUGUGCAUGCCUUGUUUUAAUGCUACAUUUGUUGGUGCAAAUCCAACCCUUGUAAUCUAGCUGGUGAAAUGUCUGGAAGCAGGAGAUGGGAUCGUUAGCUUAAUACACACACAACUACUACCACCAAGUUCGCUGCCAGAUACUUUUCACCAAGAAGGCCUGAGUGGCACUUGUAGGUGCCACUGUGCUAAUGAAAAUGGUUUGCCAAAGACUACCACAACAAUUACAUUGUCUUUAAAUGUAUUUUAAAUUGUAAAGAAAAAAAUUGUUGGACGAUAAGAUGUUUCGUUCAAUGGGGCUAGGCAAAGCAGAGAUGACAAAAUUAUUUUAAUUUCACCCAUACAACAAUAUAGCCCAUUACAAAAGUACAAUAUGUUUACAAUAUCAUAAACAAUAGUAUUGUACAUGUUCCAAAUUACAUUUUAUAUAUUCAUACUGUUUGAAGUUAAGGGGGCACUUUUGUCAUGAUGACAAGGUGAAGGUGCUCUACUCAACUGGCACAACAGAAUCAUUCAGAUCGACCAAAACACAGCAUAUAACAACCAUCUUGUAUAAUUGAGGGUUGUCUCCAUUCAUUUCUGGAAAAGGACAAAGAAGUAGAAACAGAUGCUGCUGAAGCAUUGCUCAUCUUCUCAGUGGGAAUCCAGUCUGCAUGGGUGUCUAGAUGGAGGUCAGCUGGUGAACCUACAGUUGUACAUAAACAAAUUAAAAGCACACCUGAUGUUAGAAAAUCACUUCAGGUCACCUACACCAUCAGGGCUCUUAAUGGUUUGGUUGUAUUUAAUUAAUUCAGGUGUUUUGUCACAAAAAGAUUACAUCUAUUGUUGGGCUUGAACAACCAAUAGUCAACACAGCAGGUUCUCCUAUACUGUAAUGUCCAUACAUCCCCCCCCCAUGAAUAAAGUUCUUUAACAAAUGAUAAUUGGGUUGUCAUAUGAAUAUGAUAACCACUGGAGUUUCUUUGCACAAUAAUGUCCUCCAGGCUAUAUGGCCGUCAUAUUGUACAAUUUGCAUCUCCCCUUUUCGUGGCCAUGGCUAGAAGGGAUUCAGCUUUUGUCAAAUCAACGUCACAUUUGACAUUCCG
rnacentral:lncRNA from 1 species